rnacentral:rRNA from 1 species
UACGUAGGGUGCAAGCGUUGUCCGGAAUUAUUGGGCGUAAAGAGCUCGUAGGCGGUUUGUCGCGUCGGCUGUGAAAACUCGGGGCUUAACUCCGAGCCUGCAGUCGAUACGGGCAGACUUGAGUUCGGUAGGGGAGACUGGAAUUCCUGGUGUAGCGGUGAAAUGCGCAGAUAUCAGGAGGAACACCGGUGGCGAAGGCGGGCCUCUGGGCCGAUACUGACGCUGAGGAGCGAAAGCGUGGGGAGCGAACAGG